GACGAACGCUGGCGGCGUGCCUAAUACAUGCAAGUAGAACGCUGAAGGAGGAGCUUGCUCUUCUGGAUGAGUUGCGAACGGGUGAGUAACGCGUAGGUAACCUGCCUGGUAGCGGGGGAUAACUAUUGGAAACGAUAGCUAAUACCGCAUAAUAGUAGAUGUUGCAUGAUAUUUACUUAAAAGGUGCAAUUGCACCACUACCAGAUGGACCUGCGUUGUAUUAGCUAGUUGGUGGGGUAACGGCUCACCAAGGCGACGAUACAUAGCCGACCUGAGAGGGUGAUCGGCCACACUGGGACUGAGACACGGCCCAGACUCCUACGGGAGGCAGCAGUAGGGAAUCUUCGGCAAUGGACGAAAGUCUGACCGAGCAACGCCGCGGGAGUGAAGAAGGGUUUCGGAUCGUAAAGCUCUGUUGUAAGAGAAGAACGAGUGUGAGAGUGGAAAGUUCACACUGUGACGGUAGCUUAACAGAAAGGGACGGCUAACUACGUG
rnacentral:rRNA from 1 species